GGUGCAUUAGCUAGGUUGGUGAGGUAACGGCUCACCAAGGCCACGAUGCAUAGCCGACCUGAGAGGGUGAUCGGCCACACUGGGACUGAGACACGGCCCAGACUCCUACGGGAGGCAGCAGUAGGGAAUCUUCCGCAAUGGACGAAAGUCUGACGGAGCAACGCCGCGUGAGUGAUGAAGGCUUUCGGGUCGUAAAACUCUGUUGUUAGGGAAGAACAAGUAUGAGAGUAACUGCUCGUACCUUGACGGUACCUAACCAGAAAGCCACGGCUAACUACGUGCCAGCAGCCGCGGUAAUACGUAGGUGGCAAGCGUUAUCCGGAAUUAUUGGGCGUAAAGCGCGCGCAGGCGGUUUCUUAAGUCUGAUGUG
rnacentral:rRNA from 1 species